GUGGGGAAUAUUGCACAAUGGGCGCAAGCCUGAUGCAGCAACGCCGCGUGAGGGAUGACGGCCUUCGGGUUGUAAACCUCUUUUAGUAGGGAAGAAGCGAAAGUGACGGUACCUGCAGAAAAAGCACCGGCUAACUACGUGCCAGCAGCCGCGGUAAUACGUAGGGUGCAAGCGUUGUCCGGAAUUAUUGGGCGGAAAGAGCUCGUAGGCGGCUUGUCGCGUCUGCUGUGAAAUCCCGGGGCUCAACCCCGGGCCUGCAGUGGGUACGGGCAGGCUAGAGUGCGGUAGGGGAGAGUGGAAUUCCUGGUGUAGCGGUGGAAUGCGCAGAUAUCAGGAGGAACACCGAUGGCGAAGGCAGAUCUCUGGGCCGCUACUGACGCUGAGGAGCGAAAGCAUGGGGAGCGAACAGGAUUAGAUACCCUGGUAGUCC
rnacentral:rRNA from 1 species